UACGUAGGGUGCGAGCGUUAAUCGGAAUUACUGGGCGUAAAGCGUGCGCAGGCGGUUUUGUAAGACAGAUGUGAAAUCCCCGGGCUCAACCUGGGAACUGCGUUUGCGACUGCAAGACUUGAGUGUGGCGAGAGGGGGGUGGAAUUCCACGUGUAGCAGUAGAAAUGCGUAGAGAUGUGGAGGAACACCGAUGGCGAAGGCACGCCCCCGU
rnacentral:rRNA from 1 species